rnacentral:rRNA from 1 species
CGCGUAGGCGGUCGGUCAAGUCGGUUGUGAAAGCCCUCGGCUCAACCGAGGAACUGCAUCCGAUACUGGCUGGCUAGAGUAUGGAAGGGGAGAGUGGAACUCCUGGUGGAGCGGUGAAAUGCGUAGAUAUCAGGAGGAACGCCGGUGGCGAAAGCGACUCUCUGGUCCACAACUGACGCUGAGGCGCGAAAGCCAGGGGAGCAAACG